UACGUAGGGGGCAAGCGUUGUCCGGAAUCAUUGGGCGUAAAGAGCGUGUAGGCGGCCCGGUAAGUCCGCUGUGAAAGUCCAGGGCUCAACCCUGGGAUGCCGGUGGAUACUGUCGGGCUCGAGUCCGGAAGAGGAGUGUGGAAUUCCUGGUGUAGCGGUGAAAUGCGCAGAUAUCCGGAGGAACACCGGUGGCGAAGGCGGCUUCCUGGACCGACACUGACGCUGAGGCGCGAAAGCUAGGGGAGCAAACGGG
rnacentral:rRNA from 1 species